GAUGAACGCUGGCGGCGUGCCUAAUACAUGCAAGUCGAGCGAACAGACGAGGAGCUUGCUCCUCUGACGUUAGCGGCGGACGGGUGAGUAACACGUGGAUAACCUACCUAUAAGACUGGGAUAACUUCGGGAAACCGGAGCUAAUACCGGAUAAUAUAUUGAACCGCAUGGUUCAAUAGUGAAAGACGGUUUUGCUGGCACUUAUAGAUGGAUCCGCGCCGCAUUAGCUAGUUGGUAAGGUAACGGCUUACCAAGGCAACGAUGCGUAGCCGACCUGAGAGGGUGAUCGGCCACACGGGAACUGAGCCACGGACCAGACUCCUGAGGGAGGCAGCAGUAGGGAAUCGUCCGCAGUGGGCGAAAGCAUUACGGAACAACCGCGCGCCUGUGGUGGAGGUCUUCGGUUCGUAAAACUCUGUUAUUAGUGAAGAACAAAUUUGUAAGUAGCUAUGCACGUCUUGACGGUACCUAAUCAGAAAGCAACGGCUAACUACGUG
rnacentral:rRNA from 1 species